rnacentral:rRNA from 1 species
UCGGGAAUUUUGGGCAAUGGGCGAAAGCCUGACUCAGCAACGCCGCGUGAAGGAUGAAGUAUUUCGGUAUGUAAACUUCGAAAGAAUAGGAAGAAUAAAUGACGGUACUAUUUAUAAGGUCCGGCUAACUACGUGCCAGCAGCCGCGGUAAUACGUAGGGACCAAGCGUUGUUCGGAUUUACUGGGCGUAAAGGGCGCGUAGGCGGCAAUUCAAGUCAUCUGUGAAAUCUCCGGGCUUAACUCGGAACGGUCAGAUGAUACUGCUUUGCUAGAGUGCAGAAGGGGCAAUCGGAAUUCUUGGUGUAGCGGUGAAAUGCGUAGAUAUCAAGAGGAACACCUGAGGUGAAGACGGGUUGCUGGGCUGACACUGACGCUGAGGCGCGAAAGCCAGGGGAGCAAACGGGGAUUAGAUACCCCAGUAGUCCCUGAGCGGGCUGGCAAGGCGCAU